AAAAAUCUAAUAUUAACUCUCUUAGCGUGUGUUCGUUUGAGAAGAAAUAACUAUUUACACAUAUUUGCGAGCGAGGAAUGGAGUUGUCUUUCGUGUUCUCUUGAGAAGAAAUGCAACUGUUCACGACGAUGGAUUUGCAGUGAAAUGGGAGAUAUCUGCACUGUUCACUCACCUGCAGAUUGGGUGAGAUUUGGAGGGAUGGAAUCCAAAUUCUCUUAAAUGCCCCUGUAGCGAUCUGACUAUGCACUCUUUUUACGAAGUUUUGUGGCUUUAAUGGUAUAUAGUAAAUAAUCAAUACUCUUCCUCUCUGUAUUGUUCAAUUUAGUUAUUCACCCUAAAAAGAAUAGAGGAGGUG
rnacentral:lncRNA from 1 species